rnacentral:tRNA from 1 species
UGUGUGGUAGCUCACUGGUAGAGCGCUUGCCUAGCAUGUGUGAGGCACUGGGUUUGAUACCCAGCACCACAU